rnacentral:rRNA from 1 species
CCUACGGGUGGCUGCAGUGAGGGAUAUUGGUCAAUGGGGGAAACCCUGAACCAGCAACGCCGCGUGAGGGAAGACGGUUUUCGGAUUGUAAACCUCUGUCCUCUGUGAAGAUAAUGACGGUAGCCGAGGAGGAAGCUCCGGCUAACUCCGUGCCAGCAGCCGCGGUAAUACGGAGGGUGCAAGCGUUACUCGGAAUCACUGGGCGUAAAGAGCGCGUAGGCGGGAUAGCAAGUCAGAUGUGAAAUCCUAUGGCUUAACCAUAGAACUGCAUUUGAAACUGUUAUUCUAGAGUAUGGGAGAGGUAGGUGGAAUUCUUGGUGUAGGGGUAAAAUCCGUAGAGAUCAAGAGGAAUACUCAUUGCGAAGGCGACCUGCUAGAACAUAACUGACGCUGAUGCGCGAAAGCGUGGGGAGCAAACAGGAUUAGAUACCCCUGUAGUC